AAUUAGUCUCCAAUAAUAAUACAUAAUUGGAACGAUACAGAGAAGAUUAGCAUGGCCCUUGCGCAAAGAUGACACGCACAAAUCGAGAAAUGGUCCAAAAAAAAUUU
rfam:Medicago truncatula strain A17 chromosome 8, whole genome shotgun sequence.